UAAAUUGAGAGUUUGAUCCUGGCUCAGGAUGAACGCUGGCGGCGUGCUUAACACAUGCAAGUCGAGCGAUGAAGUUUCUUUCGGGAAA
rnacentral:rRNA from 1 species